rnacentral:rRNA from 1 species
UACAGAGGUCCCGAGCGUUGUUCGGAUUUACUGGGCGUGAAGGGUGCGUAGGUGGUGAGGUAAGUCGGAUGUGAAAUCUCGGAGCUCAACUCCGAAACGGCAUUGGAAACUACCUUGCUUGAGGGUUGGAGGGGGGACUGGAAUUCUCGGUGUAGCAGUGAAAUGCGUAGAUAUCGAGAGGAACACCAGUGGCGAAGGCGAGUCCCUGGACAACACCUGACACUGAGGCACGAAAGCUAGGGGAG